AUAAACUCACUUUUGGAAAAGGGACUAUGCUUCUAGUCUCUCCAGAUAUCCGGGACCCUGACCCCGCUGUGUACCAGCUGAGAGGCUCUAAAUCCAGCACCACCUCCGUCUGCCUAUUCACCGAUUUUGAUUCUCAAACGAAUGUGUCACAAGCCAAGGAAUCGGAAGUGUUCAUCUCAGACAAAACUGUGCUGGACAUGAGGUCCACAGAUUCCAAGAGCAAUGGUGCCUUGGCUUGGAGCAGCAAAAGCAAUUUCAAUUGUGCCACAACCUUCGACGAAAAGAAUGCCUUCUUUUCCAGCUCAGGCCUCGGAUGUGCCAGCCCAUAACCACUGUGGCCUCUUGGUUUUACAGAUAUGAGCCUAAACUUUCAAAACCUGUCAGUGAUCGGGUUCCGCAUCGCCCUCCUGAAAGUGGUCGGAUUUAACCUGCUCAUGACGCUGCGGCUGUGGUCCAGCUAAGGUCAGCAAGAUUGCAGGAGUGCCGGUGCUCCCUCACUCCUUCCUCCGCAUCACCCGUCCUCUCACCUCUUCAA